ACAAACCUAAAGAUACUGCACAAUACUAUCUAUCACCUUCAUAACAUCAACCUCCAAAUCAUUCCAAUCCAAAAUCACAGGCAAAACUCACCCCACAAUUUCAUAAGACCAACAUGUAAUGUUAACAAUUUUAACAAGAUCACACAACCUACAAAAUCAAGCUCGCAACACCAUGAUCAUAUAAUUAUUGUUUCUUUCACUCUUGUUUUUUU